rnacentral:rRNA from 1 species
UUAAUCGGAAUUACUGGGCGUAAAGCGCACGUAGGUGGAUAUUUAAGUCGGAUGUGAAAGCCCCAAGGCUUAACCUGGGAAUUGCAUCCGAUACUGGAUGUCUCGAGUAUGGUAGAGGGAAGUGGAAUUUCCGGUGUAGCGGUGAAAUGCGUAGAUAUCGGAAAGAACACCAGUGGCGAAGGCGGCUUCCUGGACCAAUACUGACACUGAGGUGCGAAAGCGUGGGGAGCAAACAGGAUUAGAGACCCUGGUAGUCCACGCCGUCAACGAUGAGAACUAGCUGUUGGAGAGCUAACUUUCCAGUAGCGAAGCUUACGUGUUAAGUUCUCCCCCUGGGGAGUACGGCCGCAAGGUUA